rnacentral:rRNA from 1 species
UACGGGGGGGGCAAGCGUUGUCCGGAAUCAUUGGGCGUAAAGCGCGCGCAGGCGGCGAUCUACGUCUGGGGUGAAAGCCCGGAGCUCAACUCCGGGACUGCCUUGGAUACGGGAUCGCUUGAGAAUUGGAGAGGCAAGGGGAAUUCCACGUGUAGCGGUGAAAUGCGUAGAUAUCGGGAGGAACAUCAGUGGCGAAGGCGGCCUUCUGGUCCAGUACUGACACUCAAGUGCGAAAGCGUGGGGAGCAAACAGG